rnacentral:tRNA from 1 species
CCUCCUUUCUAAGGAAACAAUUAUCAUCCUCAGUUUUGAGAGACUUAAGAAAGUUUUUCAUUGUCACUUGCUUGCAAAUUGUAUUUGCAACAUUUUAAUCUUUUCAAGAUUAAGGGCCUUAUAGCUCAGUUGGUUAGAGCACACGCCUCAUAAGCGUGAGGUCGGUGGUUCAAGUCCAUUUAGGCCCACCAUAACCACAAAUAGGCAAAAUCUUAAAAAAGCUUUUUGAAAAGUAGAUAAACGAAGGUUAAAAAAUCAAAGG